rnacentral:snRNA from 15 species
AUACUUACCUGGACGGGGUCGAUGGGCGAUCAACAAGGCCCAUGGCCUGGGCCCGCGACCUCCAUUGCACUAGGGAGGGGCGCUGGUCUACCAUCUCCCCAAGUGGGAGAGUGGACGUCGUAAUUUGUGGCAGCGGGGGUACGCGUUCGCGCGGCCCCAAC